UUUUACGCCUUAUACCCCUUU
rnacentral:sRNA from 1 species